CUACGGGUCGCUCCAGUGGGGAAUAUUGGACAAUGGGGGAAACCCUGAUCCAGCAAUGCCGCGUGUGUGGAGAAGGCCUGCGGGUUGUAAAGCACUUUCGGUUGGGAGGACUGCUUCUAGCACUAAUAUUGUUGGAAGUUGACGUUACCUUCAGAAGAAGCACCGGCUAACUCCGUGCCAGCAGCCGCGGUAAUACGGAGGGUGCAGCGUUAAUCGGAAUUACUGGGCGUAAAGCGCGCGUAGGCGGCUAGAUCAGUCGGGUGUGAAAGCCCCGGGCUUAACCUGGGAACUGCAUCCGAUACUGUCUAGCUUGAGUACAGGAGAGGAGAGUGGAAUUCCACAUGUAGCGGUGAAAUGCGUAGGUAUGUGGAGGAACACCAAUGGCGAAGGCAGCUCUCUGGCCUGAUACUGACGCUGAGGUGCGAAAGCGUGGGGAGCAAACAGGAUUAGAUACCCGAGUAGUC
rnacentral:rRNA from 1 species